rnacentral:rRNA from 1 species
UACAGAGGUCCCCAAGCGUUGUUCGGAUUCACUGGGCGUAAAGGGUGCGUAGGUGGCCGGGAAAGUUCGGUGUAAAAGCUCCAAGCUCAACUUGGAAAUGUCACCGAAAACUUCCUGGCUUGAGGAUUGAAGGGGAGACUGGAAUUCUCGGUGUAGCAGUGAAAUGCGUAGAUAUCGAGAGGAACACCGGUGGCGAAGGCGAGUCUCUAGGCAAUUCCUGACACUGAGGCACGAAAGCUGGGGGAGCAAACAGGAUUAGAACCUC